rnacentral:rRNA from 1 species
UACGUAGGUGGCGAGCGUUGUCCGGAAUUACUGGGCGUAAAGGAUGCGUAGGUGGAUAUUUAAGUGGGAUGUGAAAUCCCCGGGCUCAACCCGGGAACUGCAUUCCAAACUGGGUAUCUAGAGUGCAGGAGAGGAAAGCGGAAUUCCUAGUGUAGCGGUGAAAUGCGUAGAUAUUAGGAGGAACACCAGUGGCGAAGGCGGCUUUCUGGACUGUAACUGACACUGAGGCAUGAAAGCGUGGGUAGCAAACAGG